rnacentral:lncRNA from 10 species
AAAAACUACAGAGUGGCAGAAAAUAUUUGCAAACUAUAUAUCUGAUAAGGGGUUAAUAUCCAAAAUGUAUAAGGAACUCAUACAACUCAAUAGCAAAAAACCAACCAAACAAAAUAAGUUAAGUCAAUAAAAAAUGGGCAAAGGACCUCAACAGCCAUUUCUCCAAAAAAGACAUGCAUCAGUGAUCAGGGAAAUAUAAAUAAAAACCACAAUGGAUAUCUCCUCAUGCCUAUGAAGAUGGCUGUUAUAAAAAAACAAACAAGAAGAUAAGCAUUGGCAAGGAUGUGUAGAAAAGGGAACCUGGUACACUGUCGAUGGGAAUGCAAAUUGGUAUGGCCAUUAUGGAAAACAGUACAGAGGUUCCUCAACAUUAAAAAUAGAAUCACCAUGUGAUCCAGCAAUACCAUUUCUGGGUAUUUAUUCAAGUCCAAUUCUCAUCCUGGGCUUUAGUUUCUAAGCAUGAUGAAUGUUAAAUGCAUGUGAUGGGCCAGAAUUGCAAUUCUACAAUCUAUGUGAACGAUGCCAAACAAACUCUAAAGUAUGUCAUGUCUAUAGUAAACACAAUUCUGUUCCCAUUGCUCUUGCAAGGUUAUAAGCACAAGAGCACCAGGUAAAAUCACAGAACAGGCGUUUCCAGGUGCCACGCCCACUAUACAAAGUGAGAUGGCUGUAAUAUUUAUGGCUGAGGUCCUGGUGGGGAGCCUGUGGAGAAAUGCUUCUCCCAGAAUAACACUGUGGGCACACAGUUGUGCUUAAUGACCACUGAUGGGUCGUGAUGGGCCCUUCUGUCAUCAUCACAAUACAUGUUAAGGGAGGCUUCCGGUUUGUGAGCCUUGCUAGUGUGCAGGGCUACUUUGCUUCUGAUGAGCGCUUGUCUCUGAGGCAUCUGCAGAGCUUGGUGAUCUGCCCAGGAAUGAGCUCAUACAUUCUGCAGAUUCCAGGGAACAGACAAGAGCAACAGCAUUGAAAGAACCAAGCGAAGGUACCGGCUAGAGUCUCUGAUUCUGGGCCAGCCCUCCUGCAGUGUGGCCUGGGCAGUGGAUGUCCCCACCAAUGGACACAGCUAUCUUUAAUUUCAAACUUAACCCUGAGUGCACAGGACCUGAACUUUUGUCCUUGGAGGAGGUAAAGCCAAACUCUGGCUAAAGAUUGAGAAAUUCACAAUAAAGAAUCCCAGAUAUGAUUUUUUCCCCCUCAUUUGAACUUUCAAACAUGGUCAUAAAUCAUCCUGGAUUUUUCUUCCACAGUCUGCCCUCUUCUGGGAAGGUUUUAAGAUGGGGCGGGAUUGUGAGCGGAUGCUUCCUUACUAUAGAGAUUGGAUGGCUGGGAUAACUGGGAUCCGGGGUUCAUGGGGCCUAUAGUCCAAAGUACAUUUUACCUAAGCUCAGGGCUGUGACCUGGGGUGGGGGUACUUUCCUCUUUCUUGCCUUGCUGAUUAUCCAUUCUCCUCAGGUGCAGGACCCUGAAGAAGGCAUCCAUGUCCAAUUAUGAGCAUGCACUAUUAUCUCAUUAGUAAGCACACAAGUCACCCAGGCAUCUUUGAACCAGCAGUUCCUUCCCGAGUCAACAGGUCUGGGGCGAGGCCUGGGACCGCAUGUCUAACCAACUGUCAGGGGAUGCUGAUGUUGCUCCAGGGACUACAAACUGCAUAAGAAGGGCCCAGGGGAUCAUGCAUAGAGUGAUGUUUUGACAAGGCCUGGGAAAACUCCUGUCAGUGGAUGCAGUGUCCUUUCCAGAUUCAAUAUUAUGCAAACUGCAUAUCGGCAAAUGGAGUAAACAAAUAUGUCCAUGAAGUUUCUGGAUGCACAGAGAGAGGGGCUGUACCAAUACACAGGCACAGACCUCCCGAUAUGCAUGGGAAUGGCUGAGCACCCUUGGCCAGCCCCAUGGCCAUCUCCACUGCCAUCUCUCUCCUCUGCAACAUGUUUGAGCACCUGAGAUAGUAGGCCAUUCUGCUGCCCAGCAGCAGAGGACAAGAGGUGGCACACACAUCUAGGGGUGGCUGUAGGUUAAAUUGGAGCUGUCAAUGGCUGGGUCUGGGGGGUCCUUUCAGGGAAUGAGGGUGAAGUUGCCCCAGCCAGUCCUGUACCUGCUCUAGGCCUGACCCUCUCCCCUUCAGCCCCACCCACAGCUAUCAGGCUCCUCAACCACAGGCAAGGCUGUGGGCAUUUGUGCUUUUCAGCUCUGUCUUCCCUGCCUGUCAGGUAUGGACAGGAGGCAUUACCCAUACUGAGUCUUCCUGGUAGAGAGAAUUUGGCCCAGUCCCUUUCUCAUCACAGACUUCAAUUUCCAGGCACAGGGAGAGUUAAAGUGUGUGUGACGGACCAAGGCUGGCUUUAGUCCUGCAGUUCUGCAAAGUGUAGGACACUUCUGCACUGUGCUGAUCCCAACAUGCUCCUAUUGCAAUAACCCUGGGAGAUUAAGUACUUUUUAAAAAUUUCCCUUCUAAGCAGAUGAGAAAACAGAUUUAAAAGGAUAAGAGUGGGUUUUUUUGAAAGGCGGGCAGCAAAUAAUUGGCAAAGCUAGCGUUUAGACCUGGGGCUGUCUUUUAACACAAAUCUCAUACUUACUUUUUGCAAAAUGGUACCAUGUUUCCCCAAACACCCCUGCAUUCAGAAAACAAACUAACAAACAAACAAACCAAAAAGGGUCAAGGACGUCUAAAAGGUCCAUCUUCAAAGCCUGAAAUGAAAUGUUUAUCUAUCUGUCCUCCACAUUCCACCUCUUCUACCCUGGCUGGCUUGACAGAUUUUUCUUGCAGCUUCGGUCCCCUUUGUUUGUGACAGGGGAUCUGCCUGCUUUCUUACAUGUUUGUUUCUAUGGACAGAUAGAAAUCAGCAUGUCCUCUGCUGGUCUAUGGUGGGGCAACAGGGCCUUCUCACCAUCACCUACCUUGUGGGAUCUGGCUUUGCAGAAGCUGUCACUCAAGUAGACUGGCUUCAGUCACUAUCAAACAUAUUGGAAGUCUCAGAAUUAAGGAAACAAAUAUUUGCAGCCAUGCUAGUUGGGCUCCUGAUAAAUAGGCAUGUUUGUCUUUAUUGUUUUGGAAGCGUGAUGAAUUCUGAGAUGUCAAGAGAAAAUGUCCCCAGACUCAAUUUCACAUCCCAAUCAGUGUCCUGUCCCUGGCGCCCAAGGUGUGUGUUGCAGAGCAGAUGGUUGUGUUGUGGGGAGACAAGACUGAGAUGAAGAUGCAUAACCCCCUUGCAUGGGCAGCUCUGAAGAGUCUCCAGCAGCUCUCGCAGGGGAAAUGCUGGGAUGGGAGGUUAGUUAGGCCACAGGAGGAACAACUGAGGCCAAAGCUCUAUGUGUUUAGUGGAUAGACAUCUUAUUGUGGAGGCUAUUGAUGAAUUGGAUAUCUGUGAUCUGAUUUUUAGCACCUAGCAUGUAUUUGAUAUUUCAUAUAGGUCUUUGAUUAUUAAAUUGUAAGUAAUUUUAGAUCUUUCCCCUUUCCAGAAUUUCACCAACUCCAUUCUUUUUGAAAGUGGAGACAUCAAUCAACUAAAAUAUUCUUUGGCCAAUCACUGUGCCCACUCGAUGUUCAGAUCCAAAGCCAAUAAAAUCUUUCAAGAAUACCCCAGAUAAUACAUGUUGAGGAUUAUUGUCAGGCUGGCUUAUUUGAGUCUCCCUAUUUCACCCUAAGACGUCUAAAAUAGAUGAUAGGGACUAUCCCAACAGAGUUAUACCAAUGAAAUUAUUUACCAAGAAGCAACACUAGUGAAGUGAUUAAUGGGUGCAUUUGGAAAACUUAUUUUCCCCAUCACAUUGCCAAAACUCCUAAUCUUUUACAUGUCUUAUCUGGCUUUCCAUGCUAGAAUAUAUGUUGAAUAUACUUUUACCUCAUAUUGCCAUGCUUGUCCCUUGGAGAUGGCUUUUCAACUAUUUUUCCAUGUCUCUCCCAUCCAUGGACAAAGUGGCAAACAAUGAGGUGACCCUCCAUGAUCCCCAGCUCCUGUUCACAUCCUGUACAGUCCCUUCCCUUGAGCGUGGGCAGGACCUGUGACUUGCCUCUAACCAACAGAAUAUGGC